rnacentral:rRNA from 1 species
UACGUAGGGUGCGAGCGUUAAUCGGAAUUACUGGGCGUAAAGCGUGCGCAGGCGGUUCGUUAAGACAGAUGUGAAAUCCCCGGGCUUAACCUGGGAAUUGCAUUUGUGACUGCACGGCUAGAGUGUGUCAGAGGGGGGUAGAAUUCCACGUGUAGCAGUGAAAUGCGUAGAUAUGUGGAGGAAUACCGAUGGCGAAGGCAGCCCCCUGGGAUAACACUGACGCUCAUGCACGAAAGCGUGGGGAGCAAACAGG